GGCUGGGGCCGUUCUGGCCUUAAGGUCGCUAGGGCAACCGGCCUCGCGGGGUUUCCCUUUUUAGUACGCCCGAAGGAGGUAACUUCAACAAUGGAGGCUGCUUCUGGCUCCUCAGCAUCGUUGAUGACCUGAGGGCACGUGACCCAGGAAUGUGCAUCCAAAGAUAAUACUACCUUCAGAGAACUCUACUUAUAGGAUUUCUCUUUAGCUCCUUCCACUUUUUUUCCUAUCCAGUGAUGAAAUUGAGUCACUGCUGCAACUGAGGCUGAGUGCUUUUCCUUCAGGAUCCAUGUCCUAUUUCUUAGUUCUGGGAAAACAACUCUAACAAGUCAACAAAGUGAAGAGAGAUAAGGAUGUUGGGAAUGACUGAUUUCAAACAAUCAAAACUGCUUUGGGGAUGAGGAUGAAGGUGGUCAAUUACCACCUUGUAUACCACAUACUGUAAUAUUUAUUCUGUCUAUUGUUUAUUAUGUGUAUUCUUCUUUAGAAUUUUAACUCCCAAGGGCAAAGAUACCUGACUGUUUUGUUUAUCAGUGUAUCCAAAAGGCCUGAAACAGAGCCUUGUACCUUAUACACACUCUGCAAAUAUUUGCUGAAUUGAACAAAUGGCUGCUGAUCUAUAAACUAUGCUGCUUUCAAAUAAAAUGAAGACAAGGACAUUGAUAACAUAUCCUCAUCCCCUGGAUGGCCUCUUGGACUUGAUUUGAGCCUCUGUGAUUAGAAUGAUGAAGUCUGUUGGGACUGUUUUCAGGAGAGGCCGUAAGACUCUGGGCACCAGAAGAGCUGCCCUGGGAUGCAGAGAGGAAAAAGUAAUAAAUAAUGAAGAAGAAAGAAAAAAAGCCAUGGGAAACCAACAAACUCAAACUAGAAAUAAAAUAAGCCAUGGCUUCUGUAAUCCUCCUGCACAUAACAACUAUGGGUUUUGGACAAAAUAUGAAAAGCAGCUAUCCAGAGGCACUGAAGAGCAGCCAAGCAGACAGACAAUGGAGGAGAAUCUCCAUUGGAAGAAGGACAUGACAAUGGGAAAAUGCCCAUUAUUACAGCUCUGUGCUGGAAAGCCAGUCCCAAUCGAUGCUAAAUAAAGGUUACUAAAACAUGAA